rnacentral:rRNA from 1 species
GAUGAAGAACGCAGCGAAAUGCGAUACGUAGUGUGAAUUGCAGAAUUCCGCGAAUCAUCGAGUCUUUGAACGCAAGUUGCGCCCGAGGCUUGUCCGAGGGCAUUUCCGCUAGAGCGUCACCGCGCCCCCCACCGAUCCGCUCCCGCCGCGAGGCGCCAGUCGGUUCGAGUGGAAGUGGCCGUCCCGGUCGCGAUCUUCGCGAGUGAGGGUCGGCUGAAAUGGAUGGAAUCGGGCCGCCGUGGUGACACAGUCCGCGAUCGGGUGAUUUUUCGCGAGCCUCCCUCCGGGAGGUUCGCCGUGAAUUUUUCUAAGUGCGUGGCUGCGUCCCCCAGUUGGUUUCGGUUCCCUCGUGCAGGUCGUGCGCGCCCCCGCGGCGCGCGUCACGCAUCAGACCUCUAAUCGGAAAAGACUACCCGCUGAGUUUAAGCAUAUCAAUAA